rnacentral:rRNA from 1 species
GACGAACGCUGGCGGCGUGCCUAAUACAUGCAAGUUGAGCGCUGAAGGUUGGUACUUGUACCAACUGGAUGAGCAGCGAACGGGUGAGUAACGCGUGGGGAAUCUGCCUUUGAGCGGGGGACAACAUUUGGAAACGAAUGCUAAUACCGCAUAAAAACUUUAUACACAAGUUUUAAGUCUGAAAGAUGCAAUUGCAUCACUCAAAGAUGAUCCCGCGUUGUAUUAGCUAGUUGGUGAGGUAAAGGCUCACCAAGGCGAUGAUACAUAGCCGACCUGAGAGUGUUAUCGGCCUCAUUGGGAUUGGGACACGGCCCAAACUGCUACGAGAGGCAGCAGUAGGGAAUCUUCGGCAAUGGACGAAAGUCUGACCGAGCAACGCCGCGUGAGUGAAGAAGGUGUUCGGAUCGUAAAACUCUGUUGGUAGAGAAGAACGUUGGUGAGAGUGGAAAGCGCAUCAAGUGACGGUAACUACCCAGAAAGGGACAGCUAACUACGUG